rfam:Otolemur garnettii contig019984, whole genome shotgun sequence.
GAGAGAUUAUUUUCAGGGAUUACUUCUAUAGUUCAUUUCCAGAGAAGUCUGAACGUGGAGGACCCCGGAAACUGCAAGGUGGCUGCACGGCCUUCUCUCCUGAGCUGCAGGCGGAUCUGGAGGCACCUUGGCUGCAAAUGCCACUUGCCCUUGAUGAUCCUUCCUUUCUUCCUCCCGGAAAGAGGGAGAGGACACGGUCUGAAUGGU